rnacentral:rRNA from 1 species
GACGAACGCUAGCGGCGUGCUUAACACAUGCAAGUCGAACGGAAAGGCCCUGCUUUUGUGGGGUGCUCGAGUGGCGAAGGGGUGAGUAACACGUGAGUAACCUGCCCUUGACUUUGGGAUAACUUCAGGAAAGUGGGGAUAAUACAGGAUAGGAGCUCGUGCUGCAGGGUGGGGGUUGGAAAGUUUCGGAGGUUGGGGAUGGACUCGCGGCUUAUCAGCUUGUUGGUGGGGUAGUGGCUUACCAAGGCUUUGACGGGUAGCCGGCCUGAGAGGGUGACCGGCCACAUUGGGACUGAGAUACGGCCCAGACUCCUACGUGAGGCAGCAGUGGGGAAUAUUGCACAAUGGUCGGAAGCCUGAUGCAGCAACGCCGCGUGCGGGAUGACGGCCUUCGUGUUGUAAACCGCUUUCGCCUGUGACGAAGCGUGAGUGACGGUAAUGGGUAAAGAAGCACCGGCUAACUACGUG